UAGGGAAUUUUGGACAAUGGGCGAAAGCCUGAUCCAGCAACGCCGCGUGUGCGAUGAAGGCCUUCGGGUUGUAAAGCACUUUAGGGGAGAUGAGAAUGGACAGUACCCCCUGAAUAAGCCUCGGCUAACUACGUGCCAGCAGCCGCGGUAAGACGUAGGAGGCGAGCGUUAUCCGGAUUUAUUGGGCGUAAAGCGCGUGCAGGCGGUUCUGUAAGUUGGGUAUGAAAUCUCCUGGCUUAACUGGGAGAGGCUACACAAAACUGCAGAGCUUGAGAAUGGGAGAGGGAGGUGGAAUUCCGGGUGUAGUGGUGAAAUGCGUAGAUAUCCGGAGGAACACCAGUGGCGAAAGCGGCCUCCUAGACCAUUUCUGACGCUCAGACGCGAAAGCUAGGGUAGCAAACGG
rnacentral:rRNA from 1 species